AAUGUAGGUUAAUCUUAAAAAAAAAAUGUGUAUUGAAAAACCCUGAAGCUGUUUGGUCAACUCUAACCUAUGGGAGCUGUGGAAAAUUUGACAGGUCAUUUCACUUGUUUAUUGGUCAAUAUUAUUGCUUUGUGAUACAGCGAACAACCACAAAAUUAUUUCUCUUUUGCUUAGCCAGGCACUAAGAGUGGGAAGGAAACUGGUAAUACCAGUACAUGCCCCAAUCUGGAAAAGUUGAAUAGACAUUCCUUAAUUUCCUUUGUGACUAUGAAAAUGAAAGUUCUUUCUUCACAGAGAGGAAACAACCUAGACAUCAUAAAAGAAAUACCGAUAUCACCACUUCUUUUAAGAUGAAAAGAUAACAUUUUAUGCACAUGACAGAGUAGGCAAUGUUCAACCCUUGAAUCUAUCAAAUCAGUAUAAUUUCAUGGAGGAUCAGCACUUUCAAGCUUUUACGAUUUAACUGCUUUUAAUGGUUUUUGGUAAUUAUACUGUUAUCAUCAUUUUAAAAUAAGUAUAAUUGGUACGCUCUUCAGGGAUUGAACAGGAAAACAUGGUAUUGUUUUGCCACAGAGAGAGAGAGAGAGAGAGAGAGAGAGAGAGAGAGAUUGAUUACUGGAGGAAGGAAAAAAGGAAUGAAGGAAAAAAGGAAGAAGAAAGAGAGAGUAUAAAAACCAUUGCAAGAAAUUACAGCCUUGCAAGGCCUGUGAGCUCUGGAAGGGCAAAACCCCACCUCUUUCUGCCUGACCACAAAUGAAUGAUCCCUUCUAGUGAUGCACGAUGAGCCUGGCCUGAGCUCAGAUCCAGGACUCUGCCACAUCUGGCAGUGAGUGUAUCCUGUUUCAAUUUCCUCACAUCAAAACAUGAAAAUGAUUUCCACAUCCAGAGCUACUGAAAAAAAUUAGAAAGAAUGCCUGUGACCUGCCUGGGACACACCAUAGCAAAUGAUGGGCACACAAUAAUUACUCACUAUUAAUAGAAACUUCAAUUUGUUUAAACUUCUAAAGCUCAUUGAAUUGGCAGAAAAAACAGCCUCUUUCUCUCUAGAGAACUUGUAGUUACACUUCUGCCAGAUUCACCAGUCGGUGACAUUUUGCCACAUUUGGUUUAUUGUCCUCCAUACAUACAUACAGCUAAAUAUCCAUACACACAUGUAUCUUCAUAUACAUGCACCUAUGUAUGUGUGAAUUAUAAAUUCCAAAAUAUUGUUUUUCUGAGCCAUUUGAAAGUAGGUUACUUAUAUUCUACCCUUUUACUUAUUAAUAUUUUGGUGUGUAAUUCCUAGGAAUAAGAAUAUUCUCUUAAGUAGCCACACUACUGUUUCAUUGGGGCUUCCCUGAUAGCUCAGUUGGUAAAGAAUCUGCCUGCAAUGCAGGAGACCCUGGUUUGAUUCCUGGGUCAGGGAGAUCCACUGGAGAAGGGAUAUACUACCCACUCCAGUAUUCUUGGGCUUCUCUUGUGGCUCAGCUUGUAAAGAAUCCACCUGCAAUUCGGGACACCUGGGUUCAGUCCCUGGGUUGGGAAGAGCCCCUGGAGAAGGGAAAGGCUACCCACUCCAUUCUCUUCUGGCCUGGAGAAUUCUAUGGACUGUAUGGUCCAUGGGGUCACAAAGAGUUGGACACGACUGAGUGACUUUCACUUCACUUUCACUGUUCCAUUUAGGAAAUUUAACAUUAUUACAAUACUUUCAUUAAAUCUACCUUCCAAUAUCACAUAUUUGUGAAUUGUCCCAUGAUAUCCUUUAAGCCCUUUCUCUU
ensembl:lncRNA